rnacentral:lncRNA from 1 species
CAUCAAGCUCUACAACUUUCAUAACUAGCACAAACACCAAUUCCAAGCCUAACUAGGGCUAUCGACUAAAAACAUCAAAAACACCAUAAAACUUCCACUUCAAAUUUCUCCUUACCUAGCUCAAGAGGGAGUGAGUCCUUUUAGGGCAAGGUUGCUGGGUUGGAGGGCUACAAAACCAUACCAAGCUUGCCCGGAUUGGUGGCCGGGAGGAGGAAGUUCCGACGAAGUGAAGGUUUGGACAGUUGGACCUUACGGGUGGCACCGCCCCUUCACGGCGGCGCUAGGGCUCCUCUCACCGGUCUAGAAAUGUUGCUGGGAGGGAGACCGACCGAACGGGACCGGUCCGGCGGCGAACGGAGGUCGGACGGCGGCGGGAGGACGGCCGGAAUACCGGUGGGUGUAGAGAGAAGAAAAUCGGGUGGGAGGAGAAGAAAAAUCGGGAGGGAGGGAGAGAGAAAAGAAAAAGGGUUUGGGCCUCACACCCCAAACCGGUCCACACCAUUUAUAACCCAAACUUCCAAAAUAAAAACACCCCGAAAAAUAAUACCCGAAUAAAAAUUACAUUUUUCUAGCUAAAAUUUACUAUUUUUACCGUCGUUGUAUUUUCCUCAUACGAAUAAUCCUCCGCACAUAAUCGUCCCCGAAACCCCUCUAGGGACCAAUUAAACUAUUUACUCAAUGAUCGAGACGGUAAAAUUCUUAUUAUAAUCACGCUAGUAAAUAAGGUAAAAAUAUAAGGGUCGGGAUGUGACAAUUAUAAUAUUAUCAGCGGUCCUCAUUAUAUGUGAAUAGAGCGCUUAGCGUGGGACGCAAUUAUACCCUGGAAGGCAACCCAUCGGUAUAUAUAUAUAGUUAUUGUGAGCUAACCAUUAUUUAGCGGUCCUCAUCAUAUGAGAGUUGAGCGUUUAGCGUGGGACGCUAUUAUAAUAUUAUCAGCGGUCCUCAUCAUAUGUGAGUAGAGCGCUUAGCGUGGGACGCUAAUAUAGCCUGGGAGGCUCAUUAUUAUGGUGAAAUUUAUUCCCCAUUGUUUUCCAUUGAUUAAUUGGGAACCAAUGGGACUAAUUCAUUAUUUUUUGUCUAUAAUUAUUUAAGGAUAAAUUUCCAAGAAUGGCAUGUAUAAAUUUUUUUCUCAAUGAAAAAUAUGGGAAAAGUAUAAAUUUUGAUUUCAAGGCUCUUUCAUUAAUUUAGUAUCUUUAUUAUUUAUUUUGUCCACUCACUCUAACAUUUUAAAUACUUUCCCCUGGACCUUUCGUUUUAAAUGCCCAGUCUGCAGAGCUCAGUUCGGCGAGAGUAGGAGGCGUGUCAUUUUCCCACCUCAUCCAGUUUUCCCUCAUAGGUUGCUAGUUAACCUACCCCUGUAUUUUCUUCUUUCCUAGUAGUUGCUCUGAUAACCUCAGGAUGUUUUAAGUAUUGUUGUUGUUGUUUAAUGUUGUGUGUUAAGAGCUUGUGACUCCAUCUAGGAGUGUUUGAAAAAGGUUUAUUUGAUAUGUUUUAUGAGGGAUGAAAUUCAUGAAAAUGAUUUUGUUUUAUUAUGUUAGCUGAGGUGGUGGAUGUUUAUUUGGGGGAGCGGAUGGCUCUAGAAGAUGUGGGUUAAAUUGUUUUAGAAGUGUUUGGGCUUUGGUGAAUUUUUUUCAGGUAGGGUUACUCAUUUUCAAGGGAGGUUAUGCCAAAAUUUUGGUAGAAUUUCCCUUGAGGUGGGUCCCGCAGGGUUUAUUCCGGAUUUCAAGGGGAAAUCCGGGGUAGGUCCUGACAAUUGGUAUCAGAGCAUUAGGUUAUCCGAUUCCUGCCUUUCCUUAUUACUACCAUAUAUGCUUAGUAACACUUAGUGUUAUUAUAGUGAUGGUCCGACCGCGGUGGAUCCAUUAGCAUUUUAUACUUGUAUGCUAAGUGUUUAUUAAGUAUGUGGGUAGUUGUCUUUUUCUUGUCUCUUGUGCUAAAUAUUUUAUUCUCAGGUAGUAUGCCUCCUUGCCGAGCUCCUAGGCAAAAUCAUCCCGGGGGGGAUGAUGAGGAAGCGCAGAGUGGUUUUAUGAACGCCAUGGAGGAUUUCUUUCAGCGUUUUAGCACUAGCAUGGUCCUUGAGAUAAAUUAUGAUAGAGCUUACAAGAAUGGUGCUAGAGCGUUUAGCCAUGUUGUUGAGCCAUUGGAUGCUCAUAAUUGGGUAGAGACCAUUAAGAAAAUGUUUAUUCAAGUGAGGUGCCCAGAGGAUAGGAAAGUGGGCUUGGCUACUCAGUUCUUGGAGAAGGAAGCUUGGCAUUGGUGGCUUGAUAUGAGUAGAGGUAUGGGUGAAGCUGCAAAUCAUAUAUUGAGGCCCAGGAGUUGGCAGCUGGCCGUCUUCGUGAUUCUGGUGGUCAUAGCCAGGGUUCAUCAAGGAAAUUAGCGUCCACCUCAGGUUCUAGAUCAUCUUCUGGUAGUGGACAUGGUAGCAGUUCGAGUCCUGGCUCCUGUUUCAGAGGGAAGUUCAAGAAGCAUGGUAGUAGACCCUUCAGGAAUUUUUUUGGGCAUCAGCUUGGGCGAUUCAGGAGUGGAUCGAGCAGUAGGAGUGGGACCUCUGGUGGUCAGUCUUUUUAGUCUGGACAGAGUCAAUUUCAGUCUGGGGGAUGUUUUCAGUGUGGUCAGCUGGAUCACUUCAAGAGGGAUUGCCCUCUUCUGACUCAGGGAGCUACAUAUGCUCCUACUCAGGCCAUGGGUCAGACAUCAGCUGGUGGUUCUAGUAGUGGCACACGGGCCAUGGCUCUAGCCAGAGGCGGCUUUCAGCAGGGCAGAGGACAGAGAGGUCGUCCUGCCACUACUCAUGCUAGGCUUCAUGCCAUGACUCAGCAGGAGGGACGUACCUCCCCGGAUGUCAUCAUUGGUACGUUGUUAAUUUUCGGUCAUCCUGCUUUUAUACUGAUAGACCCUGAGGCGACGCAUUCUUUCAUGUUUAGUAGAUUUUCAUUUCUCGCCAAUGUGCCAUCCUCGCCACUUCCAGGCGAAUGGCAGGUUUCCUUGCCCUCGGGGGAUGUGAUGAAGAUAGAUUGGGUAUUUAAAGGUUGAGAGGUGUUGGUAGAGGGUCUUAGUUUCGAUGUUGACUUGAUUCCAUUAGAUAUUGUGGAGUUUGAUGUAAUCCUGGGUAUGGACUUUUUAGAGGCACAUAGAGCCAUGAUUGAUUGUUUCCGGAAAGUAGUAGUGUUAAGAAGUCCUGGAAAGCCUGAGGUUACAUUUCAAGGUGAGCGAGAUGUUAUCUCAAGUUGUUUGAUUUCGACGGUUGCUGCUAGGAAAUUGUUGAAUAAAGGGUGUCAGGCUUAUUUAGCUCAUGUGGUGGAUACUAGAAAGGGAGAUGUGAGAAUUGAAGAUAUCCUUGUAGUUAAUGAAUUUCCCGAUAUUUUUCUAGAUGAGUUGCCUGGUUUGCCUCCUAUAAGGGAGAUAGAUUUUACAAUUGAACUACUUCUUGGAACGGCGCCUAUUUCUCAAGCGCCUUAUAGAAUGGCACCUGCAGAAUUAAAAGAGUUAAAAACUCAAUUGCAGGAGUUGGUGGAUAAGGGUUUUAUUCGGCCUAGAAUGUCCCCUUGGGGUGCUCCAGUGUUAUUUGUCAAGAAGAAAGAUGACACCAUGAGACUAUGUGUGGACUAUAGGAAGUUGAACCAGGUUACAGUGAAGAGUAAAUAUCCUUUGCCCCUCAUUGAUGAUUUAUUCAAUCUGUUGAAGGGUGCCACAGUCUUUUCAAAGAUUGAUUUGAGGUUAGGAUAUCAUCAGUUGCGAAUUCGGGAAAGUGAUAUAGCCAAGACUGCUUUUCGAUCACGUUAUGGUCAUUAUGAGUUUGUGGUGAUGCCGUUUGGACUUACUAAUGCACCUGCAGCUUUCAUGGAUCUCAUGAAUAGGGUGUUCCGUCCAUAUCUUGACCAUUUUGUGAUUGUAUUCAUAGAUGACAUCUUGGUGUAUUCUAAGAAUUUGAAGCAGCAUGCUAAACAUUUAAAAAUGGUACUGCAGACUUUGAGGGAAGCUCAGUUAUAUGCAAAGCUUAGUAAAUGUGAGUUUUGGUUGGAUAAAGUGGGGUUUUUAGGCCAUGUGGUUUCGGCAGAAGGUGUUAGUGUGGAUCCCCAAAAGAUAGAAGCGGUGACAAAUUGGAAGAGGCCUUCUAGCGUGACGGAGAUCCGUAGUUUCUUGGGGUUUGCCGGUUAUUAUUGCCGUUGUGUCCAAGAUUUCUCAAAGAUUGCCGCUCCUCUUACAAGAUUGAUCCGGAAGGGGGUUAAGUUCGAGUGGUCCGAGAAGUGUGAGCAGAGCUUUCAGGAGCUUAAGGAUCGUUUAACUAGUGCUCCAGUUCUAGCACUCCCUGAUGAUAGUGGAGAGUAUGUGGUAUAUUGCGACGCUUCUAGGCAGGGUUUGGGUGGGGUAUUGAUGCAGCAUGAAAGAGUAAUUGCUUAUGCUUCUAGGCAAUUGAAGCUGCAUGAAGGGAAUUACCCCACCCACGACCUAGAGCUUGCUGCAGUGGUGUUUGCAUUGAAAUUAUGGAGACAUUAUCUCUAUGGAGCCAAGUGCCAGAUCUUCACCGACCAUAAGAGCCUUCGGUAUGUGUUCACUCAGAGAGAAUUAAAUAUGAGGCAAAGAAGGUGGAUGGAGUUGAUUAAAGAUUAUGAUUGUACUAUUGAGUAUCAUCCUAGAAAAGCUAAUGUAGUAGCGGAUGCUCUUAGUCGCCAUCCUUCUAUGUCCUUAGCUUAUAUGAGGACGGUUUGGGUUCCACUUCUUUAUGAGUUGCGAGCUACAGGAGUAGAGUUAUCGGUAGAUGAAAUUGGUGCUUUGAUAGCCAGUUUUGAUUGAUAAAGUGCAUGAGGCUCAGUAUAAUGAUCCUUCCAUAGUGCGGUUGAUACAAAGAGCACUUAAUGGAACGGCAAGAGAUUUUUCUGUGAGGAGGGAUGGAGCCUUGUUGUUUAAAAGCAGGCUAUGUGUUCCGAAAAGGAAUUUGGGGUUGAAGCAGGAGAUAAUGGAGGAAGCUCAUAGUUCUGCUUAUGCUGCACAUCCUGGUAGUACUAAAAUGUACAAGACCUUGAAAGAUUUUUAUUGGUGGCCAAAUAUGAAAAGGGAGAUUGCCGCUUAUGUAAGUAGGUGUUUGAUUUGUCAGCAAGUCAAAGCUGAGAGGCAGAAACCUUCUGGUCUGCUAGAGCCAUUGCCUAUUCCUAUAUGGAAGUGGGACCACAUUGCCAUGGACUUUGUUUUUAGCUUACCUCGUACCCGUGAUGGGCAUGAUGGUGUUUGGGUGAUUGUGGAUCGAUUAACAAAGUCCGCACAUUUUCUGCCAGUGGGGAAGAAGUAUAAAAUGGAUAAAUUGGCGGAACUUUAUGUGAAUGAAAUUGUGAGACUCCAUGGUGUGCCUGAAUCUAUCGUUUCUGAUCGGGAUCCCAGAUUUGUUUCUAAAUUCUGGGGAGCAUUGCAGGCAGCUUUGGGCACUCAGUUGCACUUCAGCACAGCUUUUCAUCCUCAAACGGAUGGGCAGUCUGAGAGGACCAUUCAGACCAUGGAGGACAUGUUGAGGUCUUGUGCUAUGCAAUUCAGAGGGAGUUGGGAUAAGAAUUUGUCCUUGAUGAAUUUGCCUACAACAACAGUUUUCAUUCUAGCAUAGGUAUGACUCUCUUUGAAGUGCUUUAUGGGCGGCAGUGUUGUACACCUCUAUGUUGGAAUGAGGUGGGAGAAAAAGAGUUUUGUGGUCCAGAGAUUAUUCAGGAUACGAAUGAGAAGAUCAAGAUGAUUAGAGAUAGGCUCAAAGUAGCUCAAAAUAGGCAGAAGAGUUAUGCAGAUAACCGCAGGAGGGACCUUGAGUUUCAAGUGGGUGAUCGGGUAUUUUUGAAGUUAUCCCCUUGGAAGGGAGUAGUGCGUUUUGUCAAACGGGGAAAGCUUGGCCCGAGGUAUAUUGGUCCUUAUGAGAUUGUAGAGCGGGUUGGCACAGUUGCUUAUCGAUUGGAGCUACCUUUAGAGCUGUCCCGGAUACAUAGUGUUUUCCAUGUGUCCAUGCUACGCAAGUAUAUUGCCGAUCCCUCUCAUGUCUUGCAAGAGCAGCCAACAAGUUUGAAGAAAGAUUUGACCUAUGAAGAGGAACCGGUUCAGAUUCUUGAUCGAAAGGAGCAAGUGCUUAGGAACAAAACAAUUCCUCUGGUUAAAGUUCUAUGGAGGAGUCAACAAAUAGAGGAAGCCACUUGGGAACCGGAGGAGCUAAUGAGGCAGUAGUAUCCUUAUCUCUUUGAUUGACAAGUAUGUAAAUUUCAAGGACGAAAUUUUUAUAAGGAGGGGAGAAUUGUCACACCCCGGUUCUUAAGUUAUUUUACGGCUAUUUACUUUAGUAUUAUUUUGGUCUUUUACCGUGUUGAGUAGCCGGUUACUUCUUAAUGACCCUAAAGUUGACUUUCUAUUUUUCGUGGAAUUUGGGGAAACUUUCUUCAUGAAAGUCAGAGGGGACGUUAUUAAGAGUUCGUAGACAUGCUAUGUGUUAAAAUCGGAGUUAGCAUGAAAAAGUUAUGAUUUAAGGGAGUAAAUUUUGAGAUGGUAAAAAAGGGGGUAAAUAUUAGUGGGUAUUAUUUAUUUUUUUAUUGGGUUUUAUAGCUGGGCCGGCUGUGGAGCAGCCCAAAAUCUCCCCCUCAUUUUCUCUCUUCCCCUCUUCCUUCUCUCUCUUUCUCUCGUGAGUUUCCCCCGAGCCCUUCUUCGCCGGAAGUCAGCUGCCGCUGUCCGGCCAACCACCAGCUGCUACUGCACCCCAGUUCUGAUCCCCAUCACCUCCUCUCCCUCCCCGGCCUAGCCCCCGAGCCGUUAGCCCGCCGGAAGAGGAGAAAACCCAUCGGAGAUGCCGUGAAGCUUUUUUGCCAGAAAUCCCACUUCCGGCCGCCAUAGGUCGGGAUUUUUAGCUUAUCUUGUAGCCCUCAUCAAGGUGAGUAAUCCCUCAAAAGGAAUUGGUCUAAUUCGUUCUUGUUAGGGUGAAAUGUAUAAUUAUAAGUUCUAAGGAUUUAUGGAAGUUUUGGUUCGAUUACCCUAGUUAGGCUCAGAUAUGGACUAAGUACUAGUUAUGAAUGUUGUUGAGCAUGAUGAGAGGAAUGUACGUUCUGUGAAAAUUUGAGAGGCAUUGGUCUUCGCCGGAAUCCGGCAGCGGCAGCCGGCGCCGGCGCCCCUUAGGGGCAGUUUUUCAUGCUUUUUGGGUUGGUUUGAAUAAGAGGAGUUUAAUGAAGUAUAGUUUGGAAUUUUUGGAGGAGAUUUGAUAAGGUUUAGGAUUUAUCUAUGAUUAAGGAUUUAGGCGGUUGUUCAAAUGGAAAUCCGGCAGUUAGUUUAGCAGGUUUUAAAGUCUAAAAAUGUUAAAUUAUGGCUUUCGGUAUAUGCGGAGUAAUGUGAGCCUUAUUAGGUAAUAAGUGGAGAAGUUGGGCAAGAGAAAUGAAAAUUAUAGGCUUUCUCUCUCUUUUGGAAAUUUUAUUAAAGUUAUAUCCUAGUAUGGAGGUUUAAUGAUUAUUUAUUGUCCAAGACGUGAGGAGGAUCAUUUGGAGGAAGCCUCUGGCCGUCGGCAAGCAUAGCCGAGCUCUGUGAGUGGACCUUUGAUUUUAAUAUCUUGCAUGCGCUAAAUUUAUCUAAUUUCAAAGGCAUUUAGAGAUAUAAUAUUUGGUUGGAUUAUCGAGUUCCAUUUAUUUUUCUGGAACUCUCUUGCUAAUUUUAGUCGACACGUGGGACGUGUCAAGUGAUAUUUUUUAUUUCCAAGUACAGUUGGGAACUGUACUGUGCGCUAUGAGUUUUUUUAUAAUAUUUGGGGAAGUGUUGAUAAUUUUAUUCUAUUAUUAGUACUUCACCUUAAAAAGGGUUGAUUUAUAUUAAUCAUUGCUAGCUAACUUUAUUAGUAGUCCUCAUCAUAUGAGAGUUGAGCGCUUAACGUGGGAUGCUAUUAUAAUAUUAUCAACGGUCCUCAUCAUAUGUGAGUAGAGCGCUUAGCGUGGGACGCUAUUAUAGCCUGGGAGGCAACCGAUCAGUAUAUAUAUAUAGUUAUUGUUAGCUAGCCAUUAUAUAAUGGUCCUCAUCAUAUGAGAGUUGAGCACUUAGCGUGGGACGCUAUUAUAAUAUUAUCAGCGGUCCUCAUCAUAUGUGAGCAGAGCGCUUAGCGUGGGACGCUAAUAUAGCCUGGGAGGCUCAUUAUUAUGGUGAAAUUUAUUCCCCAUUGUUUUCCAUUGAUUAAUUGGGAACCAAUGGGAUUGGUUCAUUAUUUUUUGUCUAUAAUUAUUUACGGAUAAAUUUCCAAGAAUGGCAUGUAUAAAUAUUUUUCUCAAUGAAAAAUAUGGGAAAAGCAUAAAUUUUGAUUUCAAGGCUCUAUCAUUAAUUUAGUAUCUUUAUUAUUUAUUUUGUCCACUCACUCUAACAUUUUAAAUGCUUUCCCCUGGGCCUUUCAUUUUAAAUGCCCAGUCUGCAGAGCUCAGUUCGGCGAGAGUAGGAGGCGUGUCAUUUUCCCUCCUCAUCCAGUUUUCCAUCAUAGGUUACUAGUUAACCUACCCCUCUAUUUUCUUCUUUCCUAGUAGUUGCUCUGAUAACCUCAGGAUGUUUUAAGUAUUGUUGUUGUUGUUUAAUGUUGUGUGUUAAGAGCUUGUGACUCCAUCUAGGAGUGUUUGAAAAAGGUUUAUUUGAUAUGUUUUAUGAGGGAUGAAAUUCAUGAAAAUGAUUUUGUUUUAUUAUGUUAGUUGAGGUGGUGGAUGUUUAUUUGGGGGAGCGAAUGACUCCAGAAGAUGUGGGUUAAAUUGUUUUAGAAGUGUUUCGGCUUUGGUGAAUUUUUUUCAGGUAGGGUUACUCAUUUUCAAGGGAGGUUAUGCCAAAAUUUUGGUAGAAUUUCCCUUGAGGUGGGUCCCACAGGGUUUAUUCCGGAUUUUAAGAGGAAAUCCGGGGUAGGUCCUGACGUCACUAGAGUGGCCAUUUGGAUUUCGUCGGACUUAUGCUUAGAGUUGUGAGUGGACCUUUGUUUUAAUUGAAAAGCAUGCGAUGAAUUAUUUUGUUGAUCAUUUAUUUCUUCUGAUGAGACUUUUUGAUUUCUCGGUUAUUUGACAAUUUUUCCUCCUUUGGAGAGUUCCCGAAAAUGAGAUUUUCGGUUGAUAUGUUUAUUGGAUGUUAUAAGUAUAGUAUGUAUAUAAAUGCUAGCUAGCUAUACGUGCUUGGUCCGUCAUAAUGAGGUAAAAUACAAUUAUGGCGUGACGUGAGUGUUAAACACAAGCGUCAUAGCCCUAUAUGAAAACUACGUUCUUUUCUGGUUUAUUUAGGUUUUCCUAUAGGGAGUCCACACGUAUAUAUACAUCGUCCUCUUCGGUCAUAAUGAGGAAAAAAUUCCAUUAUGGAGCGACGUGAGCGUUAGACGCAAGCGUCGUAGCCUUGUAUGAAUUUCUAUUUUUCUAAUUUGUUCAUAAAAUUCAUAUAAGGAGUCUGACGAGUGUAAAUACAUACACAUAUAUGUUUAUAUAUAGUUUAGCUUGAGAGGCUCCAUUUUAUUUGAGUUGGUGACUAGCCGGAGCUAGUCGUGAAAUUGCCUGUUUAUGAGAUGAGCGCUUUUGAGCGGUCGCAUGCAGUAUAAUUUUUUUGAAAAUUAAAAUGGGAAUGCAUAAAUAUUUUUUUAUUAAUUUAUUUUUGUCCACUCACUCUAACGUUUUCAAAUUUUUUCCCCUGAGCCUUUCGUUUUAAAAAUGCCCAGCUUGCAGGUUAGCUUAGUUGAGGUUUUGCGUACAUGGAGAUGAGGCAUAGUCAUCAUAUAGCUUCCGCUUGUUAAUUUAUUAUGUUUCAUUUCUUCCUAUUAGAGUUGCUCUGAACCUAUAAAGGGUUGGAUAUGAAUUUGUUUAGAUUAGUAAUUAAUUUGGGUGGUGUUGUGUUUUAGGGAGCACGAAGGCUCCAAGAGUUUAAAGUUGGAUUUAAAUUUUCAAAAGUGUUUACAAGUUUUAUUAGGAAGGGUUGUCCAUUUUCAAGAGAGGUUACGCCGAUUUUUCGGUAAACUUUCCUUGGAAGUGGUCCCCACAAGAUUUACUUCGGAUUUCAAGGUGAAAUUCGGGAUAGGUCUUAACAUGAACCCUUACGUAACAACAGCCUACCAAUAAGAUUGGUUUUGAAGUUCUUCAAUUGUUCUUAGUAUAGGGCCUCAUUGAUUUUCACAUAGGUUUAGGGCUGGGCACGGUCCCAUACCGGCACCAAAAUAUUGAAGCCCGGGCCCGGACCGGCAGGUGUUUAGACGGGCCAGUCUCACUCUUAAAAUUUUUCGAGACCAGCAAAAGCCCGGACCGACAAAAUCCAGGCCGGUCAUGUCGGUUUCUGGUCUUUUUUCCGAUUAAGCGACUCAACGUUCUGCUUUCCAAAAAGCCACCGAAAGGCUCACCAUCUCAAGUCAAACUUGCCAAAGACCCAACUAAUCGAAAGCUCCACCUCCAAAAAUCCAGCUAACCAUGCCAUCUAAUUGGAAUCUGAUACACCUCCCACUCCUUCUUUCAACUCUAAUAAUCAAAAUCAAUCCAGAUAUUAAACAAUUACAGAGGCGAUGGAAGACCACAAUCACAAUAAGAACACAAAGGAGAUGGAAGUUGAGAUGUGUUUUGAAUCACUAAAACAGAGAACAAUGAGAGAUCAAGAUGCGUACCAGAGGCGGUGGGCGAAUUGGUGAUUGUUGUUGGAGGCGGACGUUGGUGAGGCGUCGAUGGCGAGGCAGAUCUGAGAAGCGAUUUGGAAUUUUCCCAAAUCUGAGAGGCGAAUUGGAAUUUUCAGAGGUGACGGGUGACUUGGUUGUGGUCAAGGGAGUUUUCAAAAGGGAGCUUUCCCAAAUCUGAUUCCAUGUGGUUGUGCUCAAACUGGUUCCAUAUGAGACAAUAAAGAGAUGUCUCUUUAAUUCGGCAAACUGAGAGUGAGAGACUUUAAUCCACUGUGGGUGAACGUACAAUACUAACGUAGGAUUGCUCACAUACCACAUAGCUCGGGCUUUCAGGCCUAAAAUUUUUUAGCUUUUGAGGGACCAGGACCGGCCCAGCUGUUGCUAGGACUGGACCAAACUGGCAAUAAACAAACAUGGGCCAGUAAAAAAACCCGGUCCGAUUCGGGCUUUUUUGCUGGCUCGGGUUAUAUGCCCACUCUUACAUAGGUUUUAUCCCCACGAACAACUGGAGUCGGAUUGAGUAAUAGGAACAGAAGAUUCAAUCGACGCAGAGAGAACAGAAGCGAACAACUUCGCUUUAGGGGUAUGCGACUCUAGAGGAGAACUCUCAUCCAAAGGGCACAUGAAUGCCCAUAGGCAGGCAACCUUCGUAGCAGUGCCAGAGCUAGUCGCUGUCAUCUCAGAUCAAUGCUGCCGCUAGGGCGCCGCAACCCUAGAACGCACCAGUAUUCUUUUUUUAGCAACACCGAAAAAGUCGAUACUUCCUUAUUUAGUUAUUUGUUGUUUACCUCCAUGGUUCUAUACUACUAAAACUAGAAGCAUGUAACUAGUCGAUCCAUGGUACCCCUAGACUCCUCUUCAUGUUUGUUCUUGUUAAAGCCCAAAACACAUGAAUGUCUGAAGAAUAGAACCUGUUGGAGGCGUUUGGUUACCAGGAUAAGAUUAGAUUAGGAUAUAUAAUAGUUGGAUUUGAUUAAGAUAAGAUAGGAUUUAUUUCAAAUCCUUUCAUUUGUUUGGUAAAACAGAAUCAGAACGGGAAUAGAUAAGUAGAAGAAGUAGAUUUGUGUCCAUUCUUCAUCUUCUGCAACUCAAUCAAAUGGAAAAUCCUCUAACUUUCAAUUCAUCCACGAACCAAAACCCCUCAAGCUAAUCAACAAUGGAGGCAAAUGGACACAGUCUACAUCUCCCAUGGAUUUCCAAACAGUUUCUCCAAAACCCGACUUCAUCCUCAGCAUCUCUGUCGACUAGGACUCCUCUACCCAGAUGAAACCAUCUACGACUUUACACCGCUGCCCCAAAUUUUCCUCCACAUCAAUUCCAAGUUCUCUUCGUCUCCACCGGCGCCGUCCACAGGGCCAUGACUAUUUCCAAGGUCGCCGUCGCUGAUGUCACCGCCAUCCAGCUUCAAGCUUCGCUUUGAUGAAAUUUUUUAAUUUCGAGCGGAGACGGAAACACAGCUGUUGCAGGUUGCGUACUUGUGUUGUUUUUGUUAAUAUCUGGCAGAAGAUGUCUAUAUCUCAUGUCUCUAACAAGAUUUAAUAUCCUGGUCUGACAAGAUUUAAAAAUCUUGUACUAGAGUAAUUUGCUCAUCUUGCUUCAAGGCUGGAGUGUUCUAUGAACUGGAUUCAUAAUCCUCCUACCAUUUUACUUCAUGGAGAAAUUGUUUGUUGUGGCCGGAACACCAGCUGACAAGCUGAUUUGGUGUCCCUAACCACUUAAAACCCGACACGUGUCCAACUUAGAAUUUGAUAGGAUUGUGAAUUGGGGUUAACGGUUCCGUCUUCUGUCGUUUAGAAGAAUCGUCUCUGACCUAAAAACAUACUAACUAGAUAAGACCCUCAACUAUAUCUCAGAUCUAUAUUCAGAGAAAAGGCUGAAGCAAGAGAAGAAACCGCGAUUCUCUCACAAGAGAACUGCACAAGGCGGCGCUAGUAAGAAUCACCAUUUGCAAAGACGACUGCGCCGACAACUUCGAUGGCGGAGGAUCUGGUGAUGCAAUCGAGGGACUGUGCGAGUUUUACCUCAAAUUCACCGUAUUCGUCGUCGAUUUUGAGACUUGAUAGUGGGGUUUUUGAAUGAGAGCUGUUCCCCUCCCUGCCUCCUAGAAAGGUCCCCAAGACACACCAGGUAGUUUAUUUCAAAUCUUUUACCCUCUUACUUUCUGUGCAUGAGUUUGUGGACAAAAACAAUUAGGAUUUACUGAGAAUGCAACUAAUAAGUGAAUUUGUUUGUGUAUAUGAUGAUCAAAGUAGCUGAAUUUGAGAAUAAAGUUUGAUACUUUUGCAAAUUUUAAUGAACGAAACCUCGUUAGGAAUCACUAUGAAUGAAAAUAGUUACUUUGCUUGUGUCCAUGUGUUGAACAAACUAGUUUAUUUGAGUUUUGCUUUUAAUAUAAACUGUAUGAAACUAACAGCUUUUAGUUGUAAAGAGUCUGGAGAUCCAUAAAUAUGGCUUUGCCUAGUCUAGUUCCACUGAUGGUAAUCACUAAACUGAGUUAUAUAAAGCAUAUGAACUACGACUCAUGCCAUUUUAGAGUUCUCAGUCACUAGCUUGCUACUUGUUUGUAACUGUGAAUUAGAGCUGCUAGAAUAAGCUAAUAAUAGGUCUAUUACUAAAGAGCU